AGAACUUGCGCUUCUUCUGCAUGGUUGGAGUAAAGUGUGCAAAACACCAAGCAGGUGAGAAGUAGUGAACACGGAAGCAAACGACCUGACAAACCCGUCGGCAGCGCGGUGCAAACAUGUUCACAUGCUGUCAGUCUUCAAAUAAAUGAAAUGGAGAAGUUUAUGCAGAAACAACCAUGCCCUGAUGACACCGAGAUAACAAGUCCACCCAAGAAGCUCAAACUAGAACGAAUUGAAGUGAAGGAACAAUCAGUGGAUGCUGAGGAAGAUGACUUCUCAGAUCCUGUUCCCUGGCAAAAAGUAGAAUCAGAAGGUCUGGACUGUGACUAUGCUUUGCUUUUCACCAAGCAGGAAGCUGACCACCUUUUCCAAAAACUAGAGGAGGAGGUGGUCUACUCAACAGGGGAAGAAGCAAAGGUGCAAGUGUUUGGAAAGGUGUACGAUAUACCCAGGAAACAGGCGACAUAUGGAGAUGCAGGAUUGAUGUACACUUAUUCUGGAGUGGCACGUUUAGCCUGCCCAUGGACUCCCACCCUGGAUUAUAUUCGGGAUUCUGUCACCAAAAUAACAGGACAUACAUUCAAUUUUGUCCUGAUCAACAGGUACAAAGAUGGCCAGGAUCACAUGGGUGAGCAUCGGGAUGACGAGAAGGAGCUAGAUCCUCAGUCUCCCAUUGCCUCAGUCUCGCUCGGCGCUGCACGAGAUUUCAUUUUCCGCCACAGGGAUGCUCGAGGUAAACAAAGCAGUCGGCACAUCGAGCCUGUCAAGCUGGUGCUGGCCCACGGAAGCCUGCUCCUCAUGAACUCGCCGACCAACACUUUCUGGUAUCACAGUCUUCCCGUUCGAAGGAAAGUCCUCCUACCUCGCAUUAACCUCACAUUUAGACGUAUUGUGUCCACCAGGAAAUACUAGACACUAUCGCCACAUCCUUGACUUCUACGUUACUACAUACUUUACUAAUUUCAGCCCCAGAACAGGGCUAAGGCUCCUUCACGCUUCAUACAAGGAACGAUGUUCUUGUUGACAGGCGCACAAGUUACAGCAAUCUUCUGAUUGCAGGAAUCGUGUCAGAGGUUUGUCUGUAAAUAGCCGUACCUUGCACAUAAAACUACAACAUUUACUUUAUUCUUUUUUUUUUUUAAUAUCAGAAAACAGUUUUAGAGAUUGCACACAAACAUUUCACACAAAUAUAUUGUACUAAAGUGCAAAUUGUAAAUAUUAACAAUAGGCAUCUGCUCCACAUCCUUGCUUCUCAACUGGUUUGGAAGGAAAGUGGCAGUUACAAGUAAUAGGGUUAAAAAAA